AUUGAACGCUGGCGGCAGGCCUAACACAUGCAAGUCGAACGAGUGGCGGACGGGUGAGUAAUGUCUGGGCAACUGCCUGUUGGAGGGGGAUAACUACUGGAAACGGUAGCUAAUACCGCAUACCAUCAGAUGUGCCCAGAUGGGAUUAGCUUGUGGGUGGGGUAACGGCUCACCAAGGCGACGAUCACUAGCUGGUCUGAGAGGAUGACCGGCCACACUGGAACGGAGACACGGUCCAGACUCCUACGGGAGGCAGCAGUGGGGAAUAUUGCACAAGGGGCGCAAGCCUGAUGCAGCCAUGCCGCGUGUAGGAAGAAGGCCUUCGGGUUGUAAAGUACUUUAAGCGGGGAGGCGUUACCCGCAGAGGAAGCACCGGCUAACUCCGUGCCAGCAGCCGCGGUAAUUC
rnacentral:rRNA from 1 species